GCUUACGGCCAUACCAGCCUGGGUACGCCCGAUCUCGUCUGAUCUCGGAAGCUAAGCAGGGUCGGGCCUGGUUAGUACUUGGAUUGGAGACCGCCUGGGAAUACCAGGUGCUGUAAGCA
rnacentral:rRNA from 1 species